ensembl:lncRNA
AGCAAUACAACUAAAAUCUAUCGUAGGCCAUUUUUUAUCGUGUAUAUCGUUUAUAUCGCGCAUUCCUAUAACCCACUCAUAUUUUUGAAUGGUCGUGCAUCAUUCCCUUAUUUUCUGGGGAGACUGGAGAGAUCCAUAUCGAUCUCCAACACUUCCUGUUUAAGAUGACGCAAUAUGACGAUUUUUGCGUAGAAGUAAAUAGGAAGUGUAAGAGGGGAGGAUUCUCAUGAGACUACAAGCACUAGUCCCACCCCUCUAGGGGGUGGGACCCACUGACGCUACAGACCUAUUAGAGCAGUGCCAGUGGGUGGGACCAACAGAAACUAACAUCCACAGCGUCUGAAGCUAAGCUAACAGAGGCUGUUGAUAAAACUGAAGUACAAUGGCGGAAGGUACUGGAUCUGACAUAAAAGAUGGCGCCAUGCAAAAGUUCACCAUUUCGGAAGAAAUACAAACGAGGACUAAUUCAGAGUUCACCAACUAAUACUCUUCACUAGAAAUGUUGUGUGAAAUGAUUUUCGAGCAGUCUUGCGGUAUCGGCUUGGUAGAUGGAACAGCGAUGUGUCCGAUAGGCGGAGAUCUAGUUCAGCGGGAGUGGCCAGCGAAGCUGUGCAUCGUGGUGCAUGGUGGAAGUUGUUGUCUUCAAUCCACAAGCGCCAAAAAGUCACUUUCUGCCUUUUCUCGGUCAAGACGGCACCAAAUUAGAAUUUUUAUUUAUUAUUCGACUACAUAUAGGACCCAAUUUCUAUACAUAUUCAUGCCUCCACCGGGGAAAUGCUCCUUAAGUCAAUGCAUGUCGUGGGGUUUAACCAAAUACAAUUCAGUGGCCUGUAUUUCAUUAGUGUACUCUUCUGCCUCAGGUUUCAUGAUGAACCAUCUCUACCUGGACACCCAGAUGGGAGUCUGACCCCGGUCCAUAGAAUCAAUCUAAAGACCUCCAAGACACGUAACCUCCUGCAGAGAUGAGGAUCCUGACGAAGCAAUGGCAAUUUACGCAUGAUGGUAAUAUUUUGGGAGUUAGUUCUAAUCUAAAUGGUGGAUUGUAUAGAAUGAAAAAGCUUUUCUUGUGCUGUAGAAAUGUAGGCUGUAGCUGGUUUGGGUAUCUUAAACUUGCUGUGAUGGUGUAAUUUGCGUCCUACUCUGUGACUGGUGACAGAUGCCUACUGUCAUAUGCCGGCAUAGAUGGAUGACGAACCUUGAUGCUGAGCAAGCUUUAACUUCUCUACUUAAGUCAAUGUAUGUCGUGUGGUUUAACCAAAUACGAUUCAGUGGCCUGUAUUUCAUUAGUGUACUUUUCUGCCUCAGGUGUCAUGAUGAACCAUCUCUACCUGGACACCCAGAUGGGAGUCUGACCCCAGUCCAUAGAAUCAAUCUCAAGACCUCCAAGACGCGUAACCUCCUGCAGAGAUGAGGAUUCUGACGACGCGAUGGCAAUUUACGCAUGAUGGUAAUAUUUUGGGAGUUAGUUCUAAAUAGUGGAUUGUGUAGAAUGAAAAGGCUUUUCUUGUGCUGUAGAAAUGUAGGCUGUAGCUGGUUUGGGUAUCUUAAGCUUGCUGUGAUGGUGUAAUUUGCGUCCUACUCUGUGACUGGUGACAGAUGCCUACUGUCAUAUGCCGGCACAGAUGGAUGACGAACCUUGAUGCUGAGCAAGCUUUAACUUCUCUACUUAAGUCAAUGUAUGUCGUGUAGGGCUGUAACGAUACGGGUAUCGAAACCAGAAUCGCGAGCAUCAAAGCCACAAACCUGUCUUGCGGUGUGAGAAGGCAGAAGCGCGAUACGCCCUUUCUAACUCUCCGGUCAAAUUGUCAGAUUGAAAUUUACUAAUAAUUUGUCUAAAUAAUAGUCUGCUGACACCGUCCCCUCUUAUCGAUGCCGUAAGUAUGCAACGAGAUGCCCUCUGUGAUGACAGCUCUCCGUGGCUACGGAGGAUUGCAUUUCUCUACAGCCGUCGAAGUCCUCGUAUGCGACAUGAACGACAUUUAUCCAGAGUGGGCCAAGUGUGAAAAAAAUUGUCUGUUUGAUCCCUGUCCCUAUUUUGUGUGAUUUGACCGGCAGUUUGUCUGCUUAUAGGUCGGAAUGAAGUGGCCACCGAUUAUUGACAUGAUGGGUACUUUAUUCUACCGGACUCGUUCGCUUCUUCACUGGACACGCACGCUACUGCUCGCUCUCCUCGCUCGUCCACUCACUCGCUGACGUCACUCACACACAUCACUGCCAUUUUCGCGCUGACA